CCUACGGGGGCAGCAGUGGGGAAUAUUGCACAAUGGGGGGAACCCUGAUGCAGCGACGCCGCGUGGGUGAGGAAGUACUUCGGUAUGUAAAGCCCUAUCAGCAGGGAAGAAAAUGACGGUACCUGACUAAGAAGCCCCGGCUAACUAAGUGCCAGCAGCCGCGGUAAUACGUAGGGGGCAAGCGUUAUCCGGAUUUACUGGGUGUAAAGGGAGCGUAGACGGCAGCGCAAGUCUGAAGUGAAAUGCCGGGGCUUAACCCCGGAACUGCUUUGGAAACUGGGCAGCUAGAGUGCAGGAGAGGGAAG
rnacentral:rRNA from 1 species